rnacentral:misc_RNA from 1 species
GAAAUGCGAUAAGUAAUGUGAAUUGCAGUAUUCAGUGAAUCAUCGAAUCUUUGAACGCACCUUGCGCUCCUUGGUAUUACUUGGAGCAUGCCUGUUUGAGUAUCAUGAAAUCUUCAAAGUAAAUCUUUUGUUAACUCAAUUGGUUUCUACUUUGGUAUUGGAGGUCUUUGCAGCUUCACACCUGCUCCUCUUUGUUCAUUAGCUGGAUCUCAGUGUUAUGCUUGGUUCCACUCGGCGUGAUAAGUUAUCUAUCGCUGAGGACACUGUAAAAGGUGGCCAAGGUAAAUGCAGAUGAACCGCUUCUAAUAGUCCAUUGACUUGGACAAUACUUUUAUGAUCUGAUCUCAAAUCAGGUAGGACUACCCGCUGAACUUAAGC